AUACGGAGAGUGCAAGCGUUGUUCGGAAUUACUGGGCUUAAAGAGCGUGUAGGCGGAACAUCAGGUGCUUUGUGAAAGCCCCGGGCUCAACCCGGGAAUCGCGUGGCAAACCGAUGUUCUUGAGGCAGGUAGAGGUGACUGGAACAACUGGUGGAGCGGUGAAAUGCGUAGAUAUCAGUUGGAACGCCAGCGGCGAAAGCGAGUCACUGGGCCUGUCCUGACGCUGAGACGCGAAAGCGUGGGGAGCGAACAGGAUUAGAAACCCGAGUAGUCC
rnacentral:rRNA from 1 species